rnacentral:rRNA from 1 species
GGCGAACGCUGGCGGCAGGCUUAACACAUGCAAGUCGAGCGGGCGUAGCAAUACGUCAGCGGCAGACGGGUGAGUAACACGUGGGAACGUACCUUUUGGUUCGGAACAACACAGGGAAACUUGUGCUAAUACCGGAUAAGCCCUUACGGGGAAAGAUUUAUCGCCGAAAGAUCGGCCCGCGUCUGAUUAGCUAGUUGGUGAGGUAACGGCUCACCAAGGCGACGAUCAGUAGCUGGUCGAGAGGAUGAUCAGCCACACUGGGACUGAGACACGGCCCAGACUCCUACGGGAGGCAGCAGUGGGGAAUAUUGGACAAUGGGCGCAAGCCUGAUCCAGCCAUGCCGCGUGAGUGAUGAAGGCCCUAGGGUUGUAAAGCUCUUUGUGCGGGAAGAUAAUGACGGUACCGCAAGAAUAAGCCCCGGCUAACUUCGUGCCAGCCGCCGCAGU